UACGAAGGGGGCUAGCGUUGUUCGGAAUCACUGGGCGUAAAGCGUACGUAGGCGGACGAAUAAGUCAGGGGUGAAAGCCUGGAGCUCAACUCCAGAACUGCCUUUGAUACUGUUCGUCUUGAGUCCGGGAGAGGUGAGUGGAACUGCUAGUGUAGAGGUGAAAUUCGUAGAUAUUAGCAAGAACACCAGUGGCGAAGGCGGCUCACUGGCCCGGUACUGACGCUGAGGUACGAAAGCGUGGGGAGCAAACAGG
rnacentral:rRNA from 1 species